rnacentral:rRNA from 1 species
CCUACGGGAGGCAGCAGUAGGGAAUAUUGCUCAAUGGGGGAAACCCUGAAGCAGCAACGCCGCGUGAAGGAUGAAGGUUUUCUGAUUGUAAACUCCUUUUGUUAUGGGAGAUAAUGACGGUAUCUAACGAAUAAGCACCGGCUAACUCCGUGCCAGCAGCCGCGGUAAUACGGAGGGUGCAGGCGUUACUCGGAAUCACUGGGCGUAAAGCGCGCGUAGGCGGGAUAGCAAGUCAGAUGUGAAAUCCUAUGGCUUAACCAUAGAACUGCAUUUGAAACUGUUAUUCUAGAGUAUGGGAGAGGUAGGUGGAAUUCGUGGUGUAGGGGUAAAAUCCGUAGAGAUCAAGAGGAAUACUCAUUGCGAAGGCGACCUGCUAGAAUAUAACUGACGCUGAUGCGCGAAAGCGUGGGGAGCAAACAGGAUUAGAUACCCUUGUAGUC